rnacentral:ncRNA from 2 species
CGAUUAUCGAGAGCGCGGCGAGGGAAUCGGCCCUACGACCCGCCGGCAACCUGUCCUGAGCAUGUCGAAGGAUAAGGUGCCAAUUCCGACCCGUACGGGAAAGAUAACCA